CGAGGACUGGGGGCUUCGGCCCGCCCGGCGACGGGGAGCGAGCGCGCCGCCUGCGGCCUCCCGCUUUCCGCAGUCGCCCGCUUCUCUGCGUGUCUGCGAGCGUCGCCCCGCGUCGCCCCUGCCUUGCGCUGCUCAGAAUAAAAGAUGCACAUCUGGAGAAGUUGAAUUCUCAGAACCUCGCUGUGGACAUCGGGAUUCGGGAUUUCUAGAGGCUUUGAAAUAAAUUGAUUUUUGCUUAGCACUCUUUCCCCGAGUAAAUCCGCUGUGCUGUGCAGCAUGUGGGAUCUUAGUUCCCCGACCAGGGAUCGAACCUGUGCCCCCUGCAUUAACCACUGGACCGCGAGGAAAGUCCAUUCAGUCAAAUAUUUUUGAGCCAAAUAUAUAUAAAACAGCAGA